CUGCUAUCGGAUUGAUACUAAGCCAUGCGAGUCAUUGCAGUAAUGCAAGGCAGACGGCUCAGUAACGCGUAGUCAACCUACCCUAUGGACGGGAAUAACCUCGGGAAACUGAGUAUAAUGCCCGAUAGAACACUAUACCUGGAAUGGUUUGUGUUCCAAAUGAAUGUCGCCGUAGGAUGGGACUGCGGCCUAUCAGUUUGUUGGUGAGGUAAUGGCCCACCAAGACUAUUACAGGUACGGGCUCUGAGAGGAGUAGCCCGGAGAUGGGUACUGAGACACGGACCCAGGCCCUAUGGGGCGCAGCAGGCGAGAAAACUUUGCAAUGUGCGAAAGCACGACAAGGUUAAUCCGAGUGGUUUGUGCUAAACGAACCUUUUGACAGUCCUAGAAACACUGUUGAAUAAGGGGUGGGCAAGUUUCUGGUGUCAGCCGCCGCGGUAAAACCAGCACCUCAAGUGGUCAGGAUGAUUAUUGGGCCUAAAGCAUCCGUAGCCGGCUCUGUAAGUUUUCGGUUAAAUCUGUACGCUCAACGUACAGGCUGCCGGGAAUACUGCAGAGCUAGGGAGUGGGAGAGGUAGACGGUACUCGGUAGGAAGGGGUAAAAUCCUUUGAUCUAUUGAUGACCACCUGUGGCGAAGGCGGUCUACCAGAACACGUCCGACGGUGAGGGAUGAAAGCUGGGGGAGCAAACCGGAUUAGAUACCCGGGUAGUCCCAGCUGUAAACUAUGCAAACUCAGUGAUGCAUUGGCUUGUGGCCAAUGCAGUGCUGCAGGGAAGCCGUUAAGUUUGCCGCCUGGGAAGUACGUACGCAAGUAUGAAACUUAAAGGAAUUGGCGGGGGAGCACCACAAGGGGUGAAGCCUGCGG
rnacentral:rRNA from 1 species